ACGCUGGCGGCGUGCCUAAUACAUGCAAGUAGAACGCUGAAGCUUGGUGCUUGCACCGAGCGGAAGAGUUGCGAACGGGUGAGUAACGCGUAGGUAACCUGCCUCUUAGCGGGGGAUAACUAUUGGAAACGAUAGCUAAUACCGCAUAAAAGUCGACAUUGCAUGAUGUUGACUUGAAAGGUGCAACUGCAUCACUAAGAGAUGGACCUGCGUUGUAUUAGCUAGUUGGUGAGGUAACGGCUCACCAAGGCGACGAUACAUAGCCGACCUGAGAGGGUGAUCGGCCACACUGGGACUGAGACACGGCCCAGACUCCUACGGGAGGCAGCAGUAGGGAAUCUUCGGCAAUGGACGGAAGUCUGACCGAGCAACGCCGCGUGAGUGAAGAAGGUUUUCGGAUCGUAAAGCUCUGUUGUAAGAGAAGAACGAGUGUGAGAGUGGAAAGUUCACACUGUGACGGUAACUUACCAGAAAGGGACGGCUAACUACGUGCCAGCAGCCGCGGUAAUACGUAGGUCCCGAGCGUUAUCCGGAUUUAUUGGGCGUAAAGCGAGCGCAGGCGGUUAGAUAAGUCUGAAGUUAAAGGCUGUGGCUUAACCAUAGUACGCUUUGGAAACUGUUUAACUUGAGUGCAGAAGGGGAGAGUGGAAUUCCAUGUGUAGCGGUGAAAUGCGUAGAUAUACGGAGGAACACCGGUGGCGAAAGCGGCUCUCUGGUCUGUAACUGACGCUGAGGCUCGAAAGCGUGGGGAGCAAACAGGAUUAGAUACCCUGGUAGUCCACGCCGUAAACGAUGAGUGCUAGGUGUUGGGUCCUUUCCGGGACUCAGUGCCGUAGCUAACGCAUUAAGCACUCCGCCUGGGGAGUACGACCGCAAGGUUGAAACUCAAAGGAAUUGACGGGGGCCCGCACAAGCGG
rnacentral:rRNA from 1 species